rnacentral:rRNA from 1 species
AUUCCAGCUCCAAUAGCGUAUAUUAAUGUUGUUGCAGUUAAAAAGCUCGUAGUUGGAUUUCUGGUGGGAGCGGCCGGUCCGCCGUAAGGUGUGUACUUGGUUGUCUCCUGUCAUCCUUGUGGGAACUGCUCUGGCAUUAAGUUGUCGGGGUUAGGGAACACAUCGUUUACUGUGAAAAAAUUAGAGUGUUUAAAGCAGGCUUAUGCCGUUGAAUACAUUAGCAUGGAAUAAUAAGAUAGGACUUUGGCGUCUAUUUUGUUGGUUUGCACACCAAGGUAAUGAUUAAUAGGGAUAGUUGGGGGUAUUCGUAUUUAAUUGUCAGAGGUGAAAUUCUUGGAUUUAUGAAAGACGAACUUCUGCAAAAGCAUUUACCAAAGAUGUUUUCAUUA